rnacentral:tRNA from 1 species
GGGACUGUAGCUUAGCCUGGCUAGAGCACUGAUUAGUCAGCAACAACUGCUAGUCGCUGAAUCGACUGAUAAUCGAGAGGUCCCCGGUUCGAAUCCGGGCAGUCCCA